ACAGAAGUCUGCUCACACACCAGUUGACCAGGGUCUUAAAAGAAUCCUUAUCUACUUCGACCAGAGAAAUUCCAACCCAAGGGAACUUGGAAUUUAUGGAUUUUGAAGGCAACAAGACCUAAGGUCAAGAACCUGGAAACACCUGGCCCAGAUCCUGACUGCUAUCAACACACCAACUUUGUCCAGCUUGAAAACAAAGCAGAACAAAACAAGACAAAGGCAAAGACAAAAAAACAAAACAAAACAAAAAAAUCCCCCAAAGACCAAAACCAAAACAAAAAACCCACCAAAACCUCUGUUCCUUUUGUGUUUUAUUUUCCUCAUUAGUCAUUCCUGUUAGUGAGCACACACACGCCACGCCUCAUCAAAACAUACUGUACCUUAUUUCCAUGUCACUCCCUCCCCACUUAUUCUUCUUCUGAACAAAAACACUCUAUUCACAUUUUCUCCCUCCUCCUAGUCUUCCUCAGGUCUACUCCAGGCAAGCUCACACCCCACUACCAAGGAAACCCUUACAGUGAAGCUUCCAGCGACAUCUGCACUGCCAAGGCCCACUCUGAAGUCCCAGCUCUUGUCUUGGUCAACGAGUCGCAGUCACUGACUUCGGGGGCUGAUGAAUCCCUUCUGUCCUGAAACACUUGCUUCUCUUGGCUCGCUCUUGGGACUCUGAACUCUUGCAUCUCUCUGGCCAUGUCCUUUUGCCUCCUUGUGCUUCCCUAGACUCCAAUAGAUGGUGAUUUUCCAUGUCUCAGUCCUUGACCUUUCCUGUCAAGGCUUACUCUCUGGCUGACAUCAUGCAGUCUCAUGGUUGAAGCCUCAUCUAUAUUUGGAUUCUCUUGGUUCCGAGUUUCUAUCUUUAGCCUGAACUUCUUCCUUUAACUCUCUGCUUGCACAUCCCAUGGCUUCCUUACUGUCGGUAUCUCGCAGCUAGUAGAACUCAUAGUGCACUCUGUCUGAGCUCCUGACGUGGUCCACACUUCCACUCGCCUCCAGCAGCCUGUGCUUUGUCUGCUGACUCUAUUGUCACCCUUCCUUUUUGUUGUCACAUUGGAAAUUCUUUUGGUUUCACUUUCAAGACCUCCCCAGAAACCACACGCUUGUCGCCAUCUGACAGGCUACCUCUAUCCUGGUCUAAAACCUGUCAAUUGCCUAUGAACUAAACAAACAGCCUGCACAAGUACAGACCCUGAAGUCCCACCAUGCAGACUGGACGCAGUGGCUCUGCCAGUAAAGAAUGACCUGAGCAAGGUGCUCAACUCUGCUUCUCCAGGUUCCUCACUGGGAAGACUGGGAUCCUAACAACAAUGCUGCUACUAUGACUAGAAGUUGUGGAAAGUAUUAAAGAAAAAAAAAAAACACCCCACAUAUAAAAUAUUGCCAGCCCCUACCAAAUAGCAUAUGACCAAUAAAUGCUAAGUAUUAUCUAUAAAGCUAUAAAAACUCCAUGACAGCGGAUGAAAGGUGGUCAGCAAAAUCAGAGAAGUUAUGGGAAUAACUAUUCUGCUGAGCAUAAGCCAAGACGAUCUUUCCAUAUCCAAACCUAAGACAGGUGUGGUGGUGUGUGCCAACAAUCUCAGUGCUUUGGAGGCAGAGGCAAGAGGAUCAAGAUUUCAAGGCGAUCUUCAGACAAUAGUGAGCCCAAGGGAAGCCUGGGCUGCAUUAGGUGCUAUGUCAAAAAUUCAAACAUGAAUAAAUAAAUAAAAAUUAAUUAAUUAAUACCCAGGCCCAUGUUGAAUCAGGAUAGAGCAUGUUUGCAUCAACUACUCUGACCUGUGCCUGUCUCUCGGUCCAUUGCACCUUGGAGCAGCUUUUAUCUGUCUUACAGUUUUACAGACAGACAACCCACUGCUAAGAUGCCUCGAUCUGGUAGUACUUGGUAUUAUCAUGUCGCUGUCCUCAGCUUUAAGAACAAUUUCUUCUCCAAAUCCCCUUCCAGAUCCCAGGAAUCACAGAUGGCCUUAAUCUCAAUCUUGGCUCUAUUCUUGGUCAAUCCCCCAAUCACUCUUAAGGAUUCCAUAUCUGGGUUACUGUUGCUGCUACCAAUGACCACAUUUAAAAGUGAGCCCAGCUCGGCAUCAGGUCCUCUGCCUAUAUACUGGAGCUUCCAGGUUAAGUGUUUUAUGGGUGCUUGAGUGUGCAAACAAGAGGGUCUCUGACUCUUCUGCUUCUUGUGCUUUUUUCCUUCUGUUGGUUUGUCUUGCCCAACUUUAAUGUAUCUUAUUAUAUUCGUUUUAUCUUAUUAUAUUUUAUUUUGUUAUAUUAAGAAGUGAAUGAAUGAAUGAAUGAAUGAAUGAAUGAAUAAAUGAAAACUUAGCAUAAAGGUUAACAACUGAACUGUCACUUAUACCUGCUGGGGACAGGAGAGGGAAAAAUCAGUUUUCUCCGACAAAAUAACACUGGGUGUAUCAACCAUUCCAGAACAGGCCUCACGUUCCAUGUCGGCUGACCAGCACAUAACUGGACUCCACAAUUAUUAUUUUUUUGUGUGUAUUUUCUUUGGCUAUGCUUUGGCAGAUCCUUUUUUUUUUUCUCUUUUGUGGUAUGGUUUUUACCUUGUUUUCUUGGUUUUGAGGGG
rnacentral:lncRNA from 1 species